GUGGAAGGGAUCAACAAGAUCGUUACUGGCGACCUGAUCUCUCUAUCUGAGCAGGAAUUGGUGGAUUGUGAUAACUCUUAUAAUGAAGGAUGUAAUGGAGGUCUCAUGGACUAUGGCUUUGAGUUUAUCAUCAACAAUGGUGGCAUUGACUCUGAAGAAGAUUACCCUUAUCUUGCUCGUGAUGGCAGAUGCGACACAUACAGGAAAAAUGCAAGGGUUGUUUCAAUUGAUAGUUAUGAAGAUGUUCCUGUGAAUAAUGAGGC
rnacentral:misc_RNA from 1 species